CCUACGGGAGGCAGCAGUGAGGAAUAUUGGUCAAUGGCCGAGAGUCUGAACCAGCCAAGUAGCGUGAAGGAUGACUGCCCUAUGGGUUGUAAACUUCUUUUAUAAAGGAAUAAAACGCGGCACGUGUGCCUUUUUGCAUGUACUUCAUGAAUAAGGAUCGGCUAAGUCCGUGCCAGCAGCCGCGGUAAUACGGAGGGUCCGAGCGUUAUCCGGAUUUAUUGGGUUUAAAGGGAGCGUAGAUGGGUUGUUAAGUCAGUUGUGAAAGUUUGCGGCUCAACCGUAAGAUUGCAAUGGAUACUGGAAGUCUUGAGUACAGUGGAGGUAGGCGGAAUUCGUGGUGUAGCGGUGAAAUGCUUAGAUAUCACGAAGAACCCCGAUUGCGAAGGCAGCUUACUAAACUGUGACUGACAUUGAGGCUCGAAAGCGUGGGUAUCAAACAGGAUUAGAUACCCUAGUAGUC
rnacentral:rRNA from 1 species